UACGGAGGAUCCAAGCGUUAUCCGGAAUCAUUGGGUUUAAAGGGUCCGUAGGUGGAUGGUUAAGUCAGGGGUGAAAGUCUGCAGCUCAACUGUAGAAUUGCCCUUGAUACUGGUCAUCUUGAAUUAUCAUGAAGUGGUUAGAAUAUGUAGUGUAGCGGUGAAAUGCAUAGAUAUUACAUAGAAUACCGAUUGCGAAGGCAGAUCACUAAUGGUACAUUGACACUGAUGGACGAAAGCGUGGGUAGCGAACAGG
rnacentral:rRNA from 1 species